AACGAACGCUGGCGGCAGGCUUAACACAUGCAAGUCGAACGCCCCGCAAGGGGAGUGGCAGACGGGUGAGUAACACGUGGGAACAUGCCCAAAGGUACGGAAUAUUCUCGGGAAACUGGGAGCAAUACCGUAUGUGCCCGAAAGGGGAAAGAUUUAUCGCCUUUGGAUUGGCCCGCGUUGGAUUAGCUAGUUGGUGGGGUAAAAGCCUACCAAGGCGACGAUCCAUAGCUGGUCUGAGAGGACGACCAGCCACACUGGGACUGAGACACGGCCCAGACUCCUACGGGAGGCAGCAGUGGGGAAUCUUGGACAAUGGGCGCAAGCCUGAUCCAGCCAUGCCGCGUGGAUGAUGAAGGCCCUAGGGUUGUAAAAUCCUUUCGUUGGGGACGAUAAUGACGGUACCCAAAGAAGAAGCUCCGGCUAACUUCGUGCCAGCCGCCGCCGUAA
rnacentral:rRNA from 1 species